rnacentral:rRNA from 1 species
ACGGAUCCUUCGGGAUUAGUGGCGGACGGGUGAGUAACACGUGGGAACGUGCCUUUUGGUUCGGAAUAACUCAGGGAAACUUGUGCUAAUACCGAAUGUGCCCUUCGGGGGAAAGAUUUAUCGCCAUUAGAGCGGCCCGCGUCUGAUUAGCUAGUUGGUGAGGUAAGGGCUCACCAAGGCUACGAUCAGUAGCUGGUCUGAGAGGAUGACCAGCCACAUUGGGACUGAGACACGGCCCAAACUCCUACGGGAGGCAGCAGUGGGGAAUCUUGCGCAAUGGGCGAAAGCCUGACGCAGCCAUGCCGCGUGAAUGAUGAAGGUCUUAGGAUUGUAAAAUUCUUUCACCGGGGACGAUAAUGACGGUACCCGGAGAAGAAGCCCCGGCUAACUUCGUGCCAGCAGCCGCGGUAAUACGAAGGGGGCUAGCGUUGCUCGGAAUUACUGGGCGUAAAGGGAGCGUAGGCGGACAUUUAAGUCAGGGGUGAAAUCCCAGAGCUCAACUCUGGAACUGCCUUUGAUACUGGGUGUCUUGAGUGUGAGAGAGGUAUGUGGAACUCCGAGUGUAGAGGUGAAAUUCGUAGAUAUUCGGAAGAACACCAGUGGCGAAGGCGACAUACUGGCUCAUUACUGACGCUGAGGCUCGAAAGCGUGGGGAGCAAACAGGAUUAGAUACCCUGGUAGUCCACGCCGUAAACGAUGAUUGCUAGUUGUCGGGGAGUUUACUCUUCGG